GCGCGGGAGAGACCGGCUUGAUGCCGGCGCCGAAGGAGCAACCCCCCGGAAUCUCUCAGGCAAAAGGACCGCGUGU
rnacentral:ncRNA from 1 species